GAUGAACGCUGGCGGCGUGCCUAAUACAUGCAAGUCGAGCGAACAGAUAAGGAGCUUGCUCCUUUGACGUUAGCGGCGGACGGGUGAGUAACACGUGGGUAACCUACCUAUAAGACUGGGAUAACUUCGGGAAACCGGAGCUAAUACCGGAUAACAUUUGGAACCGCAUGGUUCUAAAGUGAAAGAUGGUUUUGCUAUCACUUAUAGAUGGACCCGCGCCGUAUUAGCUAGUUGGUAAGGUAACGGCUUACCAAGGCGACGAUACGUAGCCGACCUGAGAGGGUGAUCGGCCACACUGGAACUGAGACACGGUCCAGACUCCUACGGGAGGCAGCAGUAGGGAAUCUUCCGCAAUGGGCGAAAGCCUGACGGAGCAACGCCGCGUGAGUGAUGAAGGGUUUCGGCUCGUAAAACUCUGUUAUUAGGGAAGAACAAAUGUGUAAGUAACUGUGCACGUCUUGACGGUACCUAAUCAGAAAGCCACGGCUAACUACGUGCCAGCCGCCGCGGUAAU
rnacentral:rRNA from 1 species